AAACCAACAGGGAUUGCCCCAGUAACGGCGAGUGAAGCGGCAACAGCUCAAAUUUGAAAUCUGGCUCUCGGGCCCGAGUUGUAAUUUGUAGAGGAUGCUUUUGGUGAGGUGCCUUCCGAGUUCCCUGGAACGGGACGCCAUAGAGGGUGAGAGCCCCGUCUGGUUGGACACCGAUCCUCUGUAAAGCUCCUUCGACGAGUCGAGUAGUUUGGGAAUGCUGCUCUAAAUGGGAGGUAUAUGUCUUCUAAAGCUAAAUACCGGCCAGAGACCGAUAGCGCACAAGUAGAGUGAUCGAAAGAUGAAAAGAACUUUGAAAAGAGAGUUAAACAGUACGUGAAAUUGUUGAAAGGGAAGCGCUUGUGACCAGACUUGGGCUUGGUUGAUCAUCCGGGGUUCUCCCCGGUGCACUCUUCCGGCCCAGGCCAGCAUCAGUUCGCCCUGGGGGACAAAGGCUUCGGGAAUGUGGCUCUCUCCGGGGAGUGUUAUAGCCCGUUGCGUAAUACCCUGUGGCGGACUGAGGUUCGCGCAUUCGCAAGGAUGCUGGCGUAAUGGUCAUCAGUGAC
rnacentral:rRNA from 1 species